UGUGCAUAUUUUUUUAUAGAAACCCUCCUAAUUGAAAAACUAUAUUUACGAGGAGUCCUCAAGGACUGAGUGGGCGGAUUGAUAUAUUGUAAAACUGGCCCCCCGUGUGGCCAUGAAAUAUCACAUAUUAGGUUAGAUUGUUAGACAACCCUUCUCAAACCCCUUAGUUUGUUCACCUUCCACCUCAGGCGCCUCCGAGUCGAUAGUUGGGCGACAACGUGUUGGAGAUCGCCGGUAGCGACCUUGGCGACAUGGAGCCGAUCCCCUAGGAUCCUGGCACCUUCCCCUUGAAGUAAGGUCCAUUGGAGCUCAUUCGCACUACAACCUCCGAAAUGCUAGGGCCGGCCUUGACUGAACCAAGACUCGAUUGAGAUCAGUAGACUAGACGAAAAGGGAUAUGACCCGUAGAGUAGACAAAGGGACUAGCAUGGAGAAACAUUUGCGUGCAUGAAGCAUAGGUCUAAUCGUUGGGGAAAGUGGAUGGGCUCAUAGCCCAGUGGUUGUGGCGUUGUGGUUUCGCCCAGCCGACAUGAGUUCGACCCCCUCUUAGGUCGAAUUCAGUGUCUCACAUUCUCUCUUUAAAACAAUGUCGCGGGGCUCCUCCCCCUUUGAUCUAAUUUUAUUCGUUGGGGAAAUGCCUAAUGGAGCUCUUUAUUUGAAAAAUUCAAAAUUCAAAAUUUUAAGUUUAAAAAAAUUCUUUAGAAAAAUACACAUAUACAUAGAUGUAUGCUACUUUUGUCUGCUAAGUUUCAUGACGGGAUUACUUUUUUAUGCAAGCUACACAAAAAUGAAAAAAAAGAGUAUUUCUAGCACAUGUACUAUUCACUAUAAAAGUACAUGAUUUUUUUUAUA